rnacentral:rRNA from 1 species
UACGUAAGGGGCUAGCGUUGCUCGGAAUUACUGGGCGUAAAGGGCUUGUAGGCGGCCUUGUAAGUCGAAUGUAAAAAACCACGGCUCAACCGUGGGGCUGCGUUCGAAACUGCAAGGCUUGAGUUUGGUGGAGGGCGAUGGAAUUCCCGGUGUAGCGGUGAAAUGCGUAGAUAUCGGGAAGAACACCGAAGGCUAAAGCAGUCGUCUAUGCCGAAACUGACGCUGAGGAGCGAAAGCAUGGGGAUCAAACAGG